GGCUCAUUGGUCAAGAGGCUAAGACGCCGCCCUCUCACGGCGGAAACAGGGGUUCGAUUCCCCUAUGAGUCACCA
rnacentral:tRNA from 1 species